rfam:Ovis aries breed Texel chromosome 4, whole genome shotgun sequence.
UCCCUGGUGGCUCAGCUGGUAAAGAAUCCACCUGCAAUGUGGGAGACCUGGGUUCGACCCCUAGGUUGGGAA